rnacentral:rRNA from 1 species
CCUACGGGGGGCAGCAGUGAGGAAUAUUGGUCAAUGGACGGAAGUCUGAACCAGCCAUGCCGCGUGCAGGAAGACGGCUCUAUGAGUUGUAAACUGCUUUUGUACAAGGGUAAACCUGAAUACGUGUAUUCAGCUGAAAGUACUGUACGAAUAAGGAUCGGCUAACUCCGUGCCAGCAGCCGCGGUAAUACGGAGGAGCCAAGCGUUAUCCGGAAUUAUUGGGUUUAAAGGGUGCGUAGGCGGAUGGAUAGGUUAGAGGGGAAAUGGCCGAGCUGAAACCGGGAACUGCCUUUAAUACUGUUGAUCUAGAGAGUAGAUGCGGUAGGCGGAAUGUAUGGGGUAGCGGUGAAAUGCUUAGAGAUCAUACAGAACACCGAUUGCGAAGGCAGCUUACCAAUCUAUAUCUGACGUUGAGGCACGAAAGCGUGGGGAGCAAACAGGAUGAGAUACCCUUGUAGUC